rnacentral:tRNA from 1 species
GGAAGGGUGGCUCAGUGGUAGAGCGCUGCCAGCCAAAUUUCCCUCGCAGGGCUCCGCGUGGUUCGAAUCCCGCCCCUUCCA